rnacentral:rRNA from 1 species
GAUGAACGCUGGCGGCGUGCUUAACACAUGCAAGUCGAACGAUGAAGCUCAGCUUGCUGGGUGGAUUAGUGGCGAACGGGUGAGUAACACGUGAGUAACCUGCCCUUAACUCUGGGAUAAGCCUGGGAAACUAGGUCUAAUACCGGAUAGGAGCGCCUACCGCAUGGUGGGUGUUGGAAAAAUUUAUCGGUCUUGGAUGGACUCGGGGCCUAUCGCCUUGUUGGUGAGGUAGUGGCUCACCAAGGCGACGACGGGUAGCCGGCCUGAGAGGGAGACCGGCCACACUGGGACUGCGACACGGCGCAGACUCCUACGGGAGGCAGAAGUGGGGAAUAUUGCACAAUGGGCGAAAGCCUGAUGCAGCGACGCCGCGUGAGGGAUGACGGCCUUCGGGUUGUAAACCUCUUUCAGUAGGGAAGAAGCGAAAGUGACGGUACCUGCAGAAGAAGCACCGGCUAACUACGUG